GUCAACGUCCAUAUCCGGUGUGCCAGCUGGCCAGAUUGUCAGAAGUUUUUACCAGAUUGUGACCCGUUUGAGGUUGGUUACAGACAGCUGACCCUACAGAACACCGCCAUGGUUGAAUACGGAUCUGGACCGGUCAAGGAAAGCAUCGAUAAUGCUGUAUUUAUUGUACCUGGACUAAUAAUAGGAUCGUUGUUCCUUUUCUUUGCUUACAAGCUGGUGGCAAGUCUGAAAGAGAAAGAAAGACAAAAAGAUGAAAAGAAAAAGAUGAAACUUCAGAGGAAAGAAAAGGAGAUAAAGAAAAAGAAGAAAUGAAAGCAAAGAAAUUAGAAAUCUUCGUUAAUAUAAAUUGUGAGAAUGCUAUUUGGAUGACUGAGCCAGGGCAGCUAUAGUCAGUAUCAAUUUCCAGUGACAAAGGAAAGGGGGUGCUGUCUGUUGCAAACUUGUUUGCAAAUAUGAAAAAGGAAAGAUUCUAUAGUCUGUUUCAUAUUUGUGUUUCCUCAUGAUCAUAACUGGAUGCAUGGAUGAAGAGAAAAAGUUGAAAUAUAACUGUUUGCUUCUAUAGUCAUUACAUAUUUAUAUUUUAUUAAUUCAGGGUUGGAUAUCAGAAUUAGAAAUCUUCUCAUGAUAAUAAUUCCUGAUUUUACUUUUCACUUAUUCCUGGAAGAAAGAUCGCAGAUCGGAAUGGAUAGCUCUAUACCUUCUGUGUUCCUGUGUGGAAGGAAUUUUUAUUGAGAUAAAGUCUUCUUGAAUUCUU